rnacentral:rRNA from 1 species
UUCGAGUGGCGGACGGGUGAGUAACGCGUGGGUAACCUGCCUUACACAGGGGGAUAACACCUGGAAACAGGUGCUAAUACCGCAUAAGCGCACAGGGCCGCAUGGCCCGGUGUGAAAAACUCCGGUGGUGUAAGAUGGACCCGCGUCUGAUUAGCUUGUUGGCGGGGUAGGGGCCCACCAAGGCGACGAUCAGUAGCUGGCCUGAGAGGGUGGACGGCCACAUUGGGACUGAGACACGGCCCAAACUCCUACGGAAGGCAGCAG